GAUGAACGCUGGCGGCAGGCUUAACACAUGCAAGUCGAACGCAUCCUUCGGGGUGAGUGGCAGACGGGUGAGUAACACGUGGGAACAUACCUUUUGGUUCGGAAUAACUCAUGGAAACGUGAGCUAAUACCGGAUACGCCCUUUUGGGGAAAGAUUUAUUGCCGAAAGAUUGGCCCGCGUCUGAUUAGCUAGUUGGUGAGGUAAUGGCUCACCAAGGCGACGAUCAGUAGCUGGUCUGAGAGGAUGAUCAGCCACACUGGGACUGAGACACGGCCCAGACUCCUACGGGAGGCAGCAGUGGGGAAUAUUGGACAAUGGGCGCAAGCCUGAUCCAGCCAUGCCGCGUGAGUGAUGAAGGCCUUAGGGUUGUAAAGCUCUUUUAUCCGGGAAGAUAAUGACUGUACCGGAAGAAUAAGCCCCGGCUAACUUCGUGCCAGCAGCCGCCGUAA
rnacentral:rRNA from 1 species